CAGCCGCCGCGGUAAUACGAAGGGUGCAAGCGUUAAUCGGAAUUACUGGGCGUAAAGCGUGCGUAGGCGGUGAGUUAAGUCUGCUGUGAAAUCCCCGGGCUCAACCUGGGAAUGGCAGUGGAUACUGGCUCGCUAGAGUGUGUCAGAGGAUGGUGGAAUUCCCGGUGUAGCGGUGAAAUGCGUAGAGAUCGGGAGGAACAUCAGUGGCGAAGGCGGCCAUCUGGGACAACACUGACGCUGAGACACGAAAGCGUGGGGAGCAAACAGGAUUAGAUACCCGCGUAGUCCCUGUCUCUUAUAC
rnacentral:rRNA from 1 species